rnacentral:telomerase_RNA from 16 species
AGAUACCUCCUGUGGAUCCAUUCAGGAUUAAUGAAAUCCUGUCAUUCAACCCCAAAAAUCUUGUCAAAUUAUUGCCUCGUCUUUUGGGCACAAACAAAAGUCACGCAGGAGGUUCAGACAUUCGACAUAAGAUACACUAUUUAUCUUAUGGAAGGUCUAGUUUUU